UUCAUUUAAACCUUAUCUAAGGCUAAACAGCAGCACAAAACCCUAUCCCUGUAAGUCUAUACUUGGUACUUGGCCAUAGCUGGGAGACAAUAGUCCCAGGUAGGGGCUGAAUGAAGCAGUGAAUGUAGAUGGUUUUCCCCGCACAUUAGCCGCGACAGAAUGUAGGGGAAUAGAAAGCAGCUGUAUUGAACACAGCUUUUUAUGUACAGAAAUGUAGAUUUACACACAAGGGGGUUCUACGUGC